rnacentral:misc_RNA from 1 species
CUAUUGUUGGGUUUGCCUCUGUAAAUGUAGCAGAGUGUUAUGUCCUUUGACAAUUUUGCUGUACCUUUGAGAGAUGAGAUGCAAAGCAGAGAAAUUUGUUAGAAAAUUCAAAAUUAACAACAUAAAUUUGUAAGACAAAAAUUAAUAUUCUAUACCAAAAUUUUAUACCAAAGGUAAAGGGCUAACGAAGAUAGAGGAAGAAAAUAUUAAAAAUGAGUUCUUAUCUCCUUAGUAGUGAGGGACACCAAUAUUCUAGGCUUCUUAGAAUUCAGUUGGAUAAAGUAAUGAAAGAAAGGAAGAAACAGGUGAAAGAAAGGGAAAAAAACAUGACAAGAGACAGAGAGAGGAAGAGUAGAGGGAAAGAGAGAAAAGAGGAAGAG